rnacentral:rRNA from 1 species
AUGAGUACCUUAAGUUGGAACUGCCGAGGGGGAGGGAACUCUCGGACAGUUCGGGAUCUCGUGAGUUUGGUGCAAACUCAUUCCCCUUGUAUUGUCUUUUUAUGCGAAACUAGCCAGUCAAAAGAAAAAAUGAAAAGAUAUCGCCCUCGAUUAGGCUUGAGUGGUUUCGAGGCAGUUGAUAGCAAUGGUCUUAGUGGAGGUCUCGCACUAUAUUGGCACGAGUCUGUGCAA